rnacentral:rRNA from 1 species
UACGGGGGGGGCAAGCGUUGUUCGGAAUUACUGGGCGUAAAGGGUUCGUAGGUGGCCAACUAAGUCAGACGUGAAAUCCCUCAGCUUAACCGGGGAACUGCGCUUGAUACUGGAUGCUUGAGAUUGGGAGAGGGAUGCGGAAUUCCAGGUGUAGCGGUGAAAUGCGUAGAUAUCUGGAGGAACACCGGUGGCGAAGGCGGCAUCCUGGACCAACACUGACGCUGAGGAGCGAAAGCCAGGGGAGCAAAGCGGG